UUCAUCUCCAGGUUGUGGAUUGUAUGACAACACUCCUGUCUCAGCCUGAUGAUGUCAUCAGCAGCAGGACCAGGAGGUCACUACAAGGUUCUCUGCAGAUUUUGAGACAUUCCACAGCCUUCAGGAAACCCAUGGUCUGGACCGAGAUAUACGAUGCUGUGUUAGUGAAAUGAUCCAGUUCUUUUGUACUGACAAACUCUGUGCAGAAUACUUGUGUAGCCAAGUGAUUUAUUCUGUAUCAUUUAUGAAAUCUUUUUAUCUUAAACUCCAAAUGGGAUAAAUAAAGAUAGACAAAUAUUU